rnacentral:rRNA from 1 species
GACGAACGCUGGCGGCGUGCUUAACACAUGCAAGUCGAACGGAAAGGCCCUGCUUUUGUGGGGUGCUCGAGUGGCGAACGGGUGAGUAACACGUGAGUAACCUGCCCUUGACUUUGGGAUAACUUCAGGAAACUGGGGCUAAUACCGGAUAGGAGCUCCUGCUGCAUGGUGGGGGUUGGAAAGUUUCGGCGGUUGGGGAUGGACUCGCGGCUUAUCAGCUUGUUGGUGGGGUAGUGGCUUACCAAGGCUUUAACGGGUAGCCGGCCUGGGAGGGUGACCGGCCACAUUGGGACUGAGAUACGGCCCAGACUCCUACGGGAGGCAGCAGUGGGGAAUAUUGCACAAUGGGCGGAAGCCUGAUGCAGCAACGCCGCGUGCGGGAUGACGGCCUUCGGGUUGUAAACCGCUUUCGCCUGUGACGAAGCGUGAGUGACGGUAAUGGGUAAAGAAGCACCGGCUAACUACGUG